rnacentral:rRNA from 1 species
AAUCGGACAUAGUACGAUAAGGUUCGUAUGUCUAAAGGGAAACAGCCCAGAACAAGAGUAAUAAGGUUCCUAAAUUAUUAUUGAGUGAAAUUAAGGAUAUAAAUAUAUAAUACAACCAGGAAAUAGGCUUAGAAGCGGUCAUUUUUUAAAGAUCUCGUAAUAGAGCACUGGUUAAUUUAUUCUUUAAUAUAUAGAUACCUAAAAUUUAACGGAUCUAAAUAAUAUACCGAAACCUUGUACAUAUUUAAAUUAAUUUAAAUAUGAGAUAGCGGAACAUUGGAUAAAAUAGUAGAGAUAUAAAUAAAUUAUAUUAUAUUUAACUAAUCUAAGAAUCCAAGAGAGAAUGCUGACAUGAGUAACGAAAAAGGAUUAUAUCCUCGCCUUAAGCUUAUGGUAUUUUGA